AUAAACAUCAGCGUUUGCAAAAUCCGCAAGAUGGAAUAUCUUUUAACCAUGACAAACACACGACUCUGUGUAUAUGUAGAUUGCAUACUGAUACCCAGCAGUCUCUCUCUCUCUCUCACACACACACACACACACACACACACACGACUCCAUCUUGUGUCUAGAAUGCUAUGUAAGGAAUAAAACACGACAGGGUGUGUUGUCACUACGCCGAAGCGGAAGUCCUGUAACAGCGUAUCUGAAGUGUUUCACUUCUCUUGUACAACAGCGAUUUAUUUAUUGAUUAAAGGAUGACAUGUCGCAAGUUUUAUCGGUCCAGCGUCAAGAAGACACAAACAAAUCGCAGCUUAUCGUGUUACCAAUAAACCGCAAAGGCCCCAAAAGUCCUCUGUCCUAAAGACUUUAGAAGUUGCAGCUCUACGUCCGAAGCGCUGACACUGGAGACUCCUUCCAUAAAUGCAAAAUAAACAUGACGUCACCAUAGCAACGAUUAGUUUUUUAGCCAACGGGAGCAGCCACCAUUCGAGUCUCUAUGAACGAGCUGUUACUAUAGAAACCAUAACAUAUUAGAAUCAAAAAUUCUACGCAAGACAAAUACAAAAGCGGCGGAACAUUUCAGUUCAGCGUAGAAACAAAACUGUUCGAGGCAACGAAACUGCUGCUCACUGAUCCGGUAGCAGGGAAAGUUGAAGAUAUGUCGCUUUAUGCAGACUCUGAAGGGGGACCACGGCGGAUCGGCUUCCAUCAUCCGCAUAUUGAUUUGGGAAAGGUUUUAUGCCAGACGCCCUUCCUGAUGCAAGCCUUCCCAUUGACCAGGGCUUGGGACCGCAACUGGUUUCUGACGCUCUCCAGGACAGACUGAUCAUCAGCAGUGGAAAAGAGUGUGAACGUUUCUAUUCCAUUUACACAGCGCCAGGCUCUGACAGACCGGCCAUGCCUUUCAUCAAAGUGCCAGAG